GACGAACGCUGGCGGCGUGCUUAACACAUGCAAGUCGAACGGAAAGGCCUCUUUCGGGGGGUACUCGAGUUGCGAACGGGUGAGUAACACGUGAGUAACCUGCCCUUCACUUUGGGAUAACUUCCGGCAACUGGCGCUAAUACCGACUAGGAGCUCUUUCUACAUGGAUGGUGUUGGAAUGUUUCGGCGGUUGGUGGUGGCCUCGCGGCUUAUCAGCUUGUUGGUGGGGAAGUGGCUUACCAAGGUUUUGACGGGUAGCCGGCCGGAGAGGGUGACCGGCCACAUUGGGACUGAGAUACGGCCCAGACUCCUACGGGUGGCAGCAGUGGGGAAUAUUGCACAAGGGGUGGAAGCCUGAUGCAGCAACGCCGUGUGCGGGAUGACGGUCUUCGGGUUGUAAACCGCUUUCGCUCAUGACGAAGCUUUGUGUGACGGUAGUGGGUAAAGAAGCACCGGCUAACUACGUG
rnacentral:rRNA from 1 species